AAAAUGCGUUACCUAGUGUGACAUGCAUACACUCGUGAAUCACCGACAUCUUGAACGUAACUGACGAAGCGGGUUCAUCCCCGCUUCAAUCACGACCGAGUGCCAACAAUUCACCACAAAAUUGAGCGUACGAUUUUUACCCUAGUGUGAAAAAAAUCGUCGCUUUAAAUUCAACGGUAUUUUUUACAUAAGCGCGGUCAAAAACCCCGUAGAAAAAUUGAUACCGGUAUUUCCCCCGUGAAAAAAACAUUUUUUUCGCGGUCAAAUUCACCGUCUAAUUUGACCUCGAUCGUGAUAGACUACCCGCUGAAUUUAA
rnacentral:misc_RNA from 1 species